CCGCGCCCCCCCUCCCUCGCCUCCCCCAUCUCUAAAAUUUUUAGAAUUUUCGCGCCCUAGCAAACCCUAAUGUUUCCCCACCCCACACCCCCAAUCUUACCCUCUCAAAUUUUCAGAAUAUCCGCUCCCCCCCUCUCUCACGCCGCCCCAUCUUUCCCUCUCAAAUUUUCAGAAUUUUCGCGCCCUCCCCCCACCUCCUCCGCCCUCUCCGCCGCCCCGCCCCAUCCCUUCCUCUCGAGCUUUCUCUCUCCUCUAGCUCUCGCCAAAUCAUCUCCUCAUCAGAUCACUGACCAAGAGAUCAGAGAGAAGAUGCCGACGUCGAAAGUGGGAUGUGGGGAUGGAGGUGUAAGUCGUCGGUGAUCAAGAAGGAGAACUGUGUGCUUCGAUGUCUAUCGCCUACUUGCUAUUCUCUCGUCUACGAGAGUGAUCCUCUUGAAGAGGGGGAGAAGGAUUAUGUUCGUAGCCAUGAGUACAAAUUCUGCAUGCGCAAAAGGAAAUAGACCUGGCACUUGGAAAGCCAAAAACACUUUUAGCAAGUGGAUUUCAGCACAGAAGGAAAUUUACCUGGCACUUGGAAAGACAAAAACACUUCAUGCAAGUGGAUUGGUGCAUCUGAAAAUGGUGUGGAUUCUUGGAAUGAUGUUUGAAGAUACAGAGAACAAGCAUAUUUUCAAGAUGAAAGCUCAUAUUUUAUUUUCGCCUCAGAAUCUUGGAGUCGUGUUCAUAAGUGUAUGACGUAGGUGUGGGACUUCCCUCCAAGAGUUUUGACGUAAAGCUUCGGUUCCUCCCACUGACUGCUAAUUCAGAUCAAGGAGGAAGAAACAUGAUGCUUCAACAAUUUGGAGGAGUAAAUGCAAUUGGAUUCUAUAAAUUAUGCAAAGUUCAUCAAGUUAUGUAAACAAUUGUAUUCUU